GAUAAACGCUGGCGGCGUGCCUAAUACAUGCAAGUCGAGCGAACGGACGAGAAGCUUGCUUCUCUGAUGUUAGCGGCGGACGGGUGAGUAACACGUGGAUAACCUACCUAUAAGACUGGGAUAACUUCGGGAAACCGGAGCUAAUACCGGAUAAUAUUUUGAACCGCAUGGUUCAAAAGUGAAAGACGGUCUUGCUGUCACUUAUAGAUGGAUCCGCGCUGCAUUAGCUAGUUGGUGAGGUAACGGCUUACCAAGGCAACGAUGCAUAGCCGACCUGAGAGGGUGAUCGGCCACACUGGAACUGAGACACGGUCCAGACUCCUACGGGAGGCAGCAGUAGGGAAUCUUCCGCAAUGGGCGAAAGCCUGACGGAGCAACGCCGCGUGAGUGAUGAAGGUCUUCGGAUCGUAAAACUCUGUUAUUAGGGAAGAACAUAUGUGUAAGUAACUGUGCACAUCUUGACGGUACCUAAUCAGAAAGCCACGGCUAACUACGUGCCAGCAGCCGCGGUAAUACGUAGGUGGCAAGCGUUAUCCGGAAUUAUUGGGCGUAAAGCGCGCGUAGGCGGUUUUUUAAGUCUGAUGUGAAAGCCCACGGCUCAACCGUGGAGGGUCAUUGGAAACUGGAAAACUUGAGUGCAGAAGAGGAAAGUGGAAUUCCAUGUGUAGCGGUGAAAUGCGCAGAGAUAUGGAGGAACACCAGUGGCGAAGGCGACUUUCUGGUCUGUAACUGACGCUGAUGAGCGAAAGCGUGGGGAUCAAACAGGAUUAGAUACCCUGGUAGUCCACGCCGUAAACGAUGAGUGCUAAGUGUUAGGGGGUUUCCGCCCCUUAGUGCUGCAGCUAACGCAUUAAGCACUCCGCCUGAGGAGUACGACCGCAAGGUUGAAACUCAAAGGAAUUGACGGGGACCCGCACAAGCGGUGGAGCAUGUGGUUUAAUUCGAAGCAACGCGAAGAACCUUACCAAAUCUUGACAUCCUUUGACAACUCUAGAGAUAGAGCCUUCCCCUUCGGGGGACAAAGUGACAGGUGGUGCAUGGUUGUCGUCAGCUCGUGUCGUGAGAUGUUGGGUUAAGUCCCGCAACGAGCGCAACCCUUAAGCUUAGUUGCCAUCAUUAAGUUGGGCACUCUAAGUUGACUGCCGGUGACAAACCGGAGGAAGGUGGGGAUGACGUCAAAUCAUCAUGCCCCUUAUGAUUUGGGCUACACACGUGCUACAAUGGACAAUACAAAGGGCAGCGAAACCGCGAGGUCAAGCAAAUCCCAUAAAGUUGUUCUCAGUUCGGAUUGUAGUCUGCAACUCGACUACAUGAAGCUGGAAUCGCUAGUAAUCGUAGAUCAGCAUGCUACGGUGAAUACGUUCCCGGGUCU
rnacentral:rRNA from 1 species